GGAGAGAUGGCUGAGUGGUCGAAAGCGCCCGUUUGGAGGGCGGGUUGGCGGGUAACCGUCACUAGGGUUCGAAUCCCUAUCUCUCCG
rnacentral:tRNA from 1 species